GACGAACGCUGGCGGCGUGCUUAACACAUGCAAGUCGAACGGAAAGGCCUUGCUUUUGUGGGGUGCUCGAGUGGCGAACGGGUGAGUAACACGUGAGUAACCUGCCCUUGACCUUGGGAUAACUUCAGGAAACUGGGGCUAAUACCGGAUAGGAGCUCCUGCUGCAUGGUGGGGGUUGGAAAGUUUCGGCGGUUGGGGAUGGACUCGCGGCUUAUCAGCUUGUUGGUGGGGUAGUGGCUUACCAAGGCUUUGACGGGUAGCCGGCCUGAGAGGGUGACCGGCCACAUUGGGACUGAGAUACGGCCCAGACUCCUACGGGAGGCAGCAGUGGGGAAUAUUGCACAAUGGGCGGAAGCCUGAUGCAGCAACGCCGCGUGCGGGAUGACGGCCUUCGGGUUGUAAACCGCUUUCGCCUGUGACGAAGCGUGAGUGACGGUAAUGGGUAAAGAAGCACCGGCUAACUACGU
rnacentral:rRNA from 1 species